GUUCUUUUCGUCCAGUGGUUAAGACACCGCAUUGUGGUCACCACUACUCGGAAUUUAUCUGCGGAAACCCGUGUUCGAUUCACGGAGAGGACA